rnacentral:rRNA from 1 species
UAGUGGCAGACGGGUGAGUAAUGUAUAGGAAUCUACCUAGUAGUACGGAAUAAUUGUUGGAAACGACAACUAAUACCGUAUACGCCCUACGGGGGAAAAAUUUAUUGCUAUUAGAUGAGCCUAUAUUAGAUUAGCUAGUUGGUGGGGUAAUAGCCUACCAAGGUAAUGAUCUAUAGCUGAUCUGAGAGGAUGAUCAGCCACACUGGAACUGAGAUACGGUCCAGACUCCUACGGGAGGCAGCAGUGGGGAAUAUUGGACAAUGGGCGAAAGCCUGAUCCAGCCAUGCCGCAUGAGUGAAGAAGGCCUUUGGGUUGUAAAGCUCUUUUAGUGAGGAAGAUAAUGACGGUACUCACAGAAGAAGUCCUGGCUAACUCCGUGCCAGCAGCCGCGGUAAUACGGAGAGGGCUAGCGUUAUUCGGAAUUAUUGGGCGUAAAGGGCGCGUAGGCUGGUUAAUAAGUUAAAAGUGAAAUCCCGAGGCUUAACCUUGGAAUUGCUUUUAAAACUAUUAAUCUAGAGAUUGAAAGAGGAUAGAGGAAUUCCUGAUGUAGAGGUAAAAUUCGUAAAUAUUAGGAGGAACACCAGUGGCGAAGGCGUCUAUCUGGUUCAAAUCUGACGCUGAAGCGCGAAGGCGUGGGGAGCAAACAGGAUUAGAUACCCUGGUAGUCCACGCUGUAAACGAUGAAUGUUAAAUAUGGGGAGUUUACUUUCUGUAUUACAGNUAACGCGUUAAACAUUCCGCCUGGGGACUACGGUCGCAAGAUUAAAACUCAAAGGAAUUGACGGGGACCCGCACAAGCGGUGGAGCAUGGGUUUAAUUGNAUGCNACGCAAAAAACCUUA